AUUGAACGCUGGCGGCAGGCCUAACACAUGCAAGUCGAGCGGAUGACGGGAGCUUGCUCCUUGAUUCAGCGGCGGACGGGUGAGUAAUGCCUAGGAAUCUGCCUGGUAGUGGGGGACAACGUUUCGAAAGGAACGCUAAUACCGCAUACGUCCUACGGGAGAAAGCAGGGGACCUUCGGGCCUUGCGCUAUCAGAUGAGCCCAGGUCGGAUUAGCUAGUUGGUGAGGUAAUGGCACACCAAGGCGACGAUCCGUAACUGGUCUGAGAGGAUGAUCAGUCACACUGGAACUGAGACACGGUCCAGACUCCUACGGGAGGCAGCAGUGGGGAAUAUUGGACAAUGGGCGAAAGCCUGAUCCAGCCAUGCCGCGUGUGUGAAGAAGGUCUUCGGAUUGUAAAGCACUUUAAGUUGGGAGGAAGGGCAGUAAGUUAAUACCUUGCUGUUUUGACGUUACCGACAGAAUAAGCACCGGCUAACUCUGUGCCAGCCGCCGCCGUAAAAC
rnacentral:rRNA from 1 species